CAUGUUCCCUUAGAGUGUGGAAAUGGAAAAAUGUAAUGGCCAUUCAUACACAGAAGCCUCACUGUGAAAAUUCAAGCUGUUCUCACAGUAUUCAUCAAGACAAACUGGUUUUCUGGCAUGCCAUUCUUGAAAGGAGACAUUCAUAUAGUUGCUGGUGUUUAUGGAGAUGGUACUGAUGAACCUAUUUGCAGAGCAACGGUGGAGACACAGACAUUAAGAACAGACUUUAGCUGAAGGCCAGUAGGAAAGAAAAAUGGGAAGGGGAAAACAAGCACCAUCCUUCUCCCAGGCACCUGACUGCUCCUUUGAUCUGACCCAAGGUUUGUACCUACCACACCAUGUAUGACUCAGAUGCCUUCAGGCCCAUUCCUCUAUGAUAUGUAUCUUGUGUGGGGGUGGGGGUUGAAACUACCUGACAUUAAAGGAAAGAUUUGAGGAGGAAAAAAAAUUGCUUUUUGAUAUUUUUUAGACUCUAAGAAAAUAUCAAGUGCACAUGGAAACA